UAUCUGUGUGACCCAAACCACGGGUGUUGUUUGGUUGUCAACUAAAAGAAGUUAAAAGGUAAACAUGGCAUCCAUGAAAGCUGAGAAACCAGCAGGCCCACAGACGCUCUUCGGGCAGCCCAAGAAGGAGCAGGCCAAAGCCAAUGAAGGCGCAUCACACUCCUCAAAACCAGCUCCAAAGAAAGCAGAGCAGAAGCCCCGGGAGCCCAAGAAGAAGGCAAAAGGUGGAAAACCAGCAUCCAAGCACUGAAAGUGGACGCCCUCUCCUCUCAAGUUGGUCACCGUGCGUGUUAUAGCCAUGUAACCUUGCACAUGUAGCAGCAUAGUCCAGCUUAUGAAAUAAUCAACAGGUUAUCCAGUUCAUUCUGGUUGAUAAUUA